GGCUCGGUAGCUUAGUGGGUAAAGCACUUGUCUAUUUAGCGAAUAAGGGUCGUGAGUUCAAAUCUCACCUGAGCUG
rnacentral:tRNA from 1 species